rnacentral:rRNA from 1 species
UACGGAGGGGACUAGCGUUGUUCGGAAUUACUGGGCGUAAAGAGCUCGUAGGCGGUCUGUCGCGUCUGCUGUGAAAACUCAGGGCUUAACCCUGAGCUUGCAGUGGGUACGGGCAGACUAGAGUGCGGUAGGGGAGACUGGAAUUCCUGGUGUAGCGGUGAAAUGCGCAGAUAUCAGGAGGAACACCGGUGGCGAAGGCGGGUCUCUGGGCCGUAACUGACGCUGAGGAGCGAAAGCAUGGGGAGCGAACAGG